UUUUUUGUAUUUUUAGUAGAGACGGGGUUUCACCGUGUUAGCCAGGAUCUUCUUGAUCUCCUGACCUUGUGAUCCACCCGCCUCGGCCUCCCAAAGUGCUGGGAUUACAGGUGUGAGCCACCGCACCUGGUCCAAGAACCCAAGUUUUAGAUCUAGAGUGAUGUCAGCAUGACAUUGAUUUCCUGAGGCCCAGGGGUGAAGGAGCUGAGGACAGCAGAGGGGUGAAGGAACUCAGCUACAGACAGCAGCAGCUGAUGCACAGGCCUCCCAGCGCCUGAAGUCACCCGGAAUUGGGAAGUGCUCAGAAGCUUACAAAGCUGCCUCGAGAUGGAAUUUUACUGUGUCAAGAAGCAUUGAAUGCUGAGCGGGAGCUAUGUCAUCCAGAUACAGAUCUCUGCAGAUUUGAUGCUACAGAUGAAGAGUUGAGAUUGUGUCAGGCCUGUGGGUUUGAAUUUGACAUGUGUGAGUGGACGUCAGAAGCAUCUGCUGGCCAAAUUUCCUGGAUGCGCACAAAAGCGAGAGAGAUCCCUGCAUUCGAAUCCACACCUCAGCAGGAUCAAGGAGGUGAUGAU